GGUGUGCGUGUGUGUGUGUGUGUGUGUGUGUGCGUGCGCGCACUUGUGUGUAUAUUUAUGUGCGUGCAUGUGUGUGUGUCUGUAUGUGUGCCCGCGCGGGUGUAUGUGCACAGUAAAAACAGAUAUGUUAUAAUAACAUAAAACAUCUCAAAUAAAAUGCAUCAUUUGAAAUUUAAUGUAGAAAUGACAUAAAUUUCUGUCAUUUUAACACUAAAAUACGAUGAUGCAUCCCAUAUAACAUAUGUGUUUUUGCUGUGUGUGUGUGUAUCUUUGUCUGUGUUUGUGUGUGUCUGUUAUGUGUGCCCGCGCGGGUGUAUGUGUGUGUAUGUGUAUCUGUGCACAUGCGCGCGCUUGUGUGUGCCUGUGGCCGACACAGGAAGAGCACGACAGGAGAUUGUCAGAGGUACUCUGUAAAUUGCAAGAAGCAGGCCUCACCAUGUGUAAAAUGGCUUGUGUGAAGUUCCUGCUUGCUUCCAAUUGGGGUUGGCUUGUGUAAAGUUUCUGCUUGCUUCCAAUUGGGGUUGGCUUGUGUGAAGUUCCUGCUUGCUUCCAAGGUUACAAUUCAAUUAGGCUCACUGUGUAUACAUGUACAGAGGUUGAUUGCAUAAUAAUGUUCUGACCUUUUCAGGGGAAAGAAAGAAAAGGCUUGUUGGGCUUAUGAGUGUACUGUUUAUGAGUCUGUGAAACUAUCGUCACUGCUAUCUGCCAUGGAACCACCACCAUCUUAUGGGUCUGAGAAGCUCUACUCACUGUGACUACUAUCCAGGAUACCUAGGAGUACCUCAUCCCCUGUGUACAGAGGCCUCUUAGUCAUUGUUGUACGAUAGAAUUAAUUGUAAUUGUAUUUAUUAUAAUGUAUGUUCACUUUUGAGAUUUCACAUGAAAAUUUCAGCAAAUUUUUGAUUGCUAACCUAUGGUGAUCGGACUCAGUAAGGCUUCUGUUGACCUUCGAGAGAAGCCUUGCAAAGCUGUGGAGCUCUGGAAGGUUGUAGCUCACCAUAAAUUAAUUAAGAGUAGAGUAAUGUGCGGUUGACGCUUCAAAGCGUCAACCGCGGCUACCAGCUAUUCACGUAUUGACGCUUCAAAGCGUCAACCGCGGCUAUUCGGUUAAAGGGGUUGGAAACGAAGGUACCCUCG